ncrna:Microcoleus chthonoplastes PCC 7420 HNH endonuclease-associated RNA and ORF (HEARO) RNA
GUCAGGAACCUCUCGGCUUACAGCCGUGGGCUUGAAAAAGCCCAUACCUGACGAGCCUAAGACCUACAUGGUCUACGUUAUGCCCAAGAGUUAAAGUUCCUACCUUGGGGUGUGUGCCAGCCCUAAGCUGCUAGAACUUCAGCAUUAAACAGGUGUACAGGGUUAAGCCAGUGUGCUGGAGAAAGUACCGAGGCAUAACAUUGGCAAGGCAAACGUUAC